rfam:Ictidomys tridecemlineatus contig105121, whole genome shotgun sequence.
GGGGUUGUGGCUCAGAGGUCGAGUGUUUGCCUAACAUGCAUGAGGCACUGAGUUUGAUCCUCAGCAACACAU